AGUGAACGCUGGCGGUAGGCCUAACACAUGCAAGUCGAACGGCAGCACAGUAAGAGCUUGCUCUUACGGGUGGCGAGUGGCGGACGGGUGAGGAAUACAUCGGAAUCUACUUUUUCGUGGGGGAUAACGUAGGGAAACUUACGCUAAUACCGCAUACGACCUACGGGUGAAAGCAGGGGAUCUUCGGACCUUGCGCGAUUGAAUGAGCCGAUGUCGGAUUAGCUAGUUGGCGGGGGAAAGGCCCACCAAGGCGCCGAACCGUAGCUGGUCUGAGAGGAUGAUCGGCCACACUGGAACUGAGACACGGUCCAGACUCCUACGGGCGGCAGCAGUCGGGAAUAUUGGACAAUGGUCCCAAGCCUGCUCCAGCCAUCCCGCGUGGGUGAAGAAGGCCUUCGGGUUGUAAAGCCCUUUUGUUGGGAAAGAAAAGCAGCAGGUUAAUACCCCGCUGUUCUGACGGUACCCAAAGAAUCAGCACCGGCUCACUUCGUG
rnacentral:rRNA from 1 species